UUUAAGCGAACUGAUGGAAACAGAUUCGUUCACUGGACCGCCUUGACAGUGCUGCAAAACCACUGCACGGACCCCUAACGAGACACAGUGAACUGAGCUGGCUUGAAGGGACACAACGUAACUUAACAUUAGCCUGUGUCGGUCGUUAGCACUAGAUAAACGCCUCCGACACACUGAAACGUAGCUGGUUACAUUUCUCAACUUGCACCCUUACACUUACUUGACGGGGCUUACUGGGCUAGUUAGCAAAAAAAAAAAAAUUAGCAGUCCGCUAGCUACGCCUCGGCUAACCACGACAGCGGCAUUUCACCACCCGUUCAAAAGACACUGUAGCUGACGUGCUGCAAAAGCAGUGCGAUGGCUAACGGCCCGUACGGACCACCGUUAAAGAGGUUUGUCAGACCUGUGUUCACACUCGUCCCCUCCGUCAGCAGACCCCCUUGGCGAGAGCUCAACCGUUCAACAUAAAGAGCAGUGAAACCACCAGGAUGCAGGUCCCCCUCUCUGCAAGAAGAUGUCGCUGUAGAAUCAGAAUUGCGACACAGAGUUGCCAGAUUUUUUGGAGUUUGACUCAAAUGCCUUAUAAAUCCCUAUAUGAAGUUUCUCCAGCUGUCAAAACCGCUCCAUUGCAAUCCAUUAAAACACUGGUGCUGCACAGUGUUGUGAGCGAACCACCCAAAAGUGAAUUGUGGAGAAAAUAACCAGAAGCGAGAUUCAGUCAACGAUAGCCUGCAAGCGGAGCUGCUCUCGGCUUUAAAAAUGUGUCUCCAUUUCAAUGAUAUUUUGCAGGUGCACCACACAUCUAAAGUUAUGCUGCUGGUUUAAAAUUGGCAUUUAAAAACCAUUUCGGUCCGGCUCGGGAAGAAUAGAUGUGGAUCUGCAGUACUAGAGCCAAGAGACAAUACCGGUGCCAACCUGUAGCUGACAUGUCCUUUUGAAGAGCUUUUAAGGGUUUUUUCUUUCUCGAUAGUUUUAAUUUCGUCGUACUGGUUUCCAAAUAGACCCGUAUAUAAUUUUUUAAAAGAUGGGAGGAAUAGCAGCUUUUCCUACAGCAAAAACUCAGCCAUCCACUUCACAACUACAUCGCUCUGGAUGGGAUUUAAAUUACAGGAGGACCACCACGUUCACUGAAAAACAGUAGGUUAUUGUGGCUGUAACUGUUACUUGGAUGAGGGUGAAAAAUUGUCCACAUUCUCUCUGGAUGUAAAUUUUGUAUCCGUUGUUUCUUUUUUUUGUAUCUGCAGAUCUUGAAAAGUCUUAAAAAUAAUUCAGUUCCUUCAAAAUAGGCCUUAGAAGGUAUUAAAAAAUCUUAAAAUUAAAUUUACAAAGGUCUAUUUUCCAGCCUGCCUGCCUAUGUAAUAUUACUUAUAUAUUAUAUUUUUUGUAUUUGGUUGUCAGGAGAUGUUAUACAUCUAUAAAAUAUAAGUGAGACUGGUGCAGCAGUGCAUUAUGCAUGCAGUCAGCGGAAUUUAAAGCAGCACCAUCAGACCUGUUGCUAGGAAGCUAAUCAACUCAUAAUGGGCGAGAGUCAGUUUUAGCAA